UCUGGCCAAAAGUCCAGUUCCCAACUAGAACCAGUUAAAAAUAUUAGCAGGGAUCCCAGCUGGGGCUGAUUUCCCAGAGCACCAGGUUUCUGCAUCUUUAAUUCCACCAUCGGCAGGGCACUGACUGGCCCAUUGGCCCGGGAUUGGCAGGACGGGGGUGGCUGGGGGUGUGUGCAGCUGAGUGGCGGUUACCAUCUGCCCAUGGUGCCUUACCCUGUCUCUGCCUUCCAGGGCUCUGCAUCGCCCUGUGCCUGGGGGGCACCGUGGCCCAGAAUAACGGCACACAAGGUACCACUGAGGACUGCAACAAUCAUGUGCUAUGCCCAGCAAACGCCACGUGUGUGAACAACACCCACUGCACCUGCCUGGAUGGAUACCAGACAAGUGGGAAUCACCCCGUCUUCUUCACCGACCCAACGGAGAUCUGUGAUGAUAUUAACGAGUGUCUGGGGCCGAGCCCGCCAGACUGUGGACCCAACGCAAACUGCAAGAACGUGCCUGGGAGUUACUACUGCAGCUGCAUCAAUGGCUACGAGCCCAGCUCUGGGAAAGCCAAGUUCAUGAACGCGAGUGAGAACACCUG